GACGAACGCUGGCGGCGUGCUUAACACAUGCAAGUCGAACGGAAAGUCCCUGCUCUUGUGGGGUGCUCGUUUGGCGAACGGGUGAGUAACACGCGAGUAACCUGCCCCUGACAUUGGGAUAACUUCUGGAAACUGGGGCUAUUAUCGGAUAUGAGCUCCUGCUGCAUGGUGGGGGUUGGAAAGUUUCGGCGGUUGGGGAUGGACUCGCGGCUUAUCAGCUUGUUGGUGGGGUUGUGGCUGACCAAGGCUUUGACGGGUAGCCGGCCUGAGAGGGUGACCGGCCACAUGGGGACUGAGAUACGGCGCAGAAUGCUACGGGAGGCAGCAGUGGGGAAUAUUGCACAAUGGGCGGAAGCCUGAUGCAGCAACGCCGCGUGCGGGAUGACGGCCUUCGGGUUGUAAACCGCUUUCGCCUGUGACGAAGCGUGAGUGACGGUAAUGGGUAAAGAAGCACCGGCUAACUACGUG
rnacentral:rRNA from 1 species